CACGGAGGGUGCAAGCGUUAUUCGGAAUCACUGGGCGUAAAGCGCGCGUAGGCGGUCUCUUAAGUCAGAUGUGAAAGCCCGGGGCUUAACCCCGGAAGUGCAUUUGAAACUAAGAGACUUGAGUAUGGGAGAGGGAAGUGGAAUUCCUGGUGUAGCGGUGAAAUGCGUAGAUAUCAGGAGGAACACCGGUGGCGAUGGCGACUUCCUGGACCAAUACUGACGCUGAGGCGCGAAGGCGUGGGGAGCAAACAGG
rnacentral:rRNA from 1 species